rnacentral:rRNA from 1 species
GAUGAACGCUGGCGGCGUGCUUAACACAUGCAAGUCGAACGAUGAAGCCCAGCUUGCUGGGUGGAUUAGUGGCGAACGGGUGAGUAACACGUGAGUAACCUGCCCUUAACUCUGGGAUAAGCCUGGGAAACUGGGUCUAAUACCGGAUAGGAGCGUCCACCGCAUGGUGGGUGUUGGAAAGAUUUAUCGGUUUUGGAUGGACUCGCGGCCUAUCAGCUUGUUGGUGAGGUAAUGGCUCACCAAGGCGACGACGGGUAGCCGGCCUGAGAGGGUGACCGGCCACACUGGGACUAAGACACGGCCCAGACUCCUGCGGGAGGCAGCAGUGGGGAAUAUUGCACGAUGGGCUCAAGCCUGAUGCAGCGACGCCGCGUGAGGUAUGACGGCCUUCGGGUUGUAAACCUCUUUCAGUAGGGAAGAAGCGAAAGUGACGGUACCUGCAGAAGAAGCACCGGCUAACUACGUG